CAAUAGCGUAUAUUUAAGUUGUUGCAGUUAAAAAGCUCGUAGUUGGAUUUCGGUUAAGAGCGACCGGUCCGCCGUUUGGUGUGCACUGGUUGGUUUUAACUUCCUGUAGAGGACGUGCUCUGGGUUUAACGACCUGGACUCGGAGUCUACGUGGUUACUUUGAAAAAAUUAGAGUGUUCAAAGCGGGCUUACGCUUGAAUAUUUCAGCAUGGAAUAACACUAUAGGACUCCUGUCCUAUUUCGUUGGUCUCGGGACGGGAGUAAUGAUUAAGAGGAACAGUUGGGGGCAUUCGUAUUUCAUUGUCAGAGGUGAAAUUCUUGGAUUUAUGAAAGACGAACUUCUGCGAAAGCACUUGCCAAGGAUGUUUUCAUUGA
rnacentral:rRNA from 1 species